UCGAGGAUCUUCGGCAAUGGGCGCAAGCCUGACCGAGCGACGCCGCGUGUGCGAUGAAGGCCUUCGGGUUGUAAAGCACUGUCGAGGGGGAGGAAAGCCGAAAGGUCUGACCUAUCCCUGGAGGAAGCACGGGCUAAGUUCGUGCCAGCAGCCGCGGUAAGACGAACCGUGCGAACGUUGUUCGGAAUCACUGGGCUUAAAGGGCGCGUAGGCGGGUGACCAAGUCAGGGGUGAAAUCCUCCGGCUUAACCGGAGAACUGCCUGUGAUACUGGUCGUCUGGAGUGAGGUAGGGGCAUGCGGAACUUCCGGUGGAGCGGUGAAAUGCGUAGAUAUCGGAAGGAACACCGGUGGCGAAGGCGGCGUGCUGGACCUCAACUGACGCUGAGGCGCGAAAGCCAGGGGAGCAAACGGGAUUAGAUACCCCCGUAGUCC
rnacentral:rRNA from 1 species